AGAGCUUUUCAUUGAUUCUUUUAUCAUCGUAGCGGAGUGUAGAAGUGAAAAUUUCGAGUGGUGCAAUAAAUCGGUCGAAUUACUGUUAAAAGUGCCAUAAUCUGGCUGGAAGUAGUGAAACGAUGAUGAAGAACCUACCGCGGCCUGGAAUAAGAGGCCAAAACGCACCAAGAGUUCGGUUACGCUAAGAAAGCAGUGGUGAAAAAAAAAUUGGGGAGUGUAAAGGGGGUCUUGCAGAGCUGAAAAUUUAUCUUUCUCGUUCCCCAGUGAAAGAAUUGUAAAACAAGGCCAGACAACAGGAUGAGAAGAAAAAAGUCCCAGUGAACUACGAAAUGCCCCAAAUGUGGCCAGUUUUCAUUCAGUCCCUCUAGGAAAAUUGUGCUAACCAAAGUGAACGACCGUGGAUUAGGGCUAUUCUUGUGGCAAGGGCCAAGAAAGAAGCCAAGAGUAGGAAAGAUAGCAGAAAAUCAUUCUUGCUCGAGAAUAUACUUACAACAAGGCGGCUGACGUUCUAAGCCUAGCGUGCUUGAAUCAACUUCGCAUUGUUGUAGUUCAGUAACUUGGUACCACCGAAUAAAUAUUGUGCAGGAAAAAAGCUUUGUAACAAGUGACAUAUAGUGAAAGUUUAAAAAAGACAGUUCAUGUGAAAGUGAUCUUCAUUAUAAAUUUUCAUCAUGGCAAAACGGAAAACGCAUAAAACAUAGUGGCAAUCGGUUUGUGACAUGUUGGUCUAAAAUAACCAGAUAUUAAAGAAAAAAAUAUAAAUAAAUAAAAACAUAAACACUCGGCAUCCACGUUUUUUGCACAAAAAGUUGUGAGAGAUUCAGUUUGAUGAAUAUAAUUGGUGUAUUUAUAGAGAUAAAAUACCUACAAAGACUACCAUAUUCCGUCGUUGAUAGAAAAAAUCAAUUUAGUUAAAUCACGCUCUAAUAUCACGUUCAACAAUAAAUUUGGAACUGUUUUGUUAAUUUUUUAUGACGUACGUAUGGUCGAAGAUCCCUACUCCAUUAACUCUCGUGCAGGUAACGUUACUCAACACAUCACUGAUAUAUUGAGCAAUAUUUGUUUAUAACUCACGCUUAUGUCAGUCAUGCUAACUUAAAACUAAGCGCAUCAAAAUCAUCAUGUUUUAUGUUUCACACAAAUGAUUGCUUCAAUAUCAACAUGGGUGAACAAUCAUCAUGAAAAAAGGAAACAAUAAUUUGAAUAUUAUUUUUAAGUGAUCUUUAAGGUAUCUAUAACCAAAAAAAAUUAUUAAAUACAGCAGUUUGAAAGGAUCAUUCAAAUUACAGGAAUUAAAAUGCCAAAUUCCAUUGAAACCGUUAAAACAAAAUCAAUUAGUGAUUUUUAACAACGAACGAUUUUUUCAUUACCAAUUCACAGGGAAGUAUUUAAUAAUCACUAGAAGGUCCCCAAAAUCCCACGUAGGGUAGAGUAGUCAUCAAUGAGACACGGGGAACAAUGAUAAAAUGGCUCUCACAAGCCGUAGUUUCAACCAAUCAUGCUCAUAUUUGGGGGAAAGGUGUGUAUACUGGAUACACGUCUGCCAUAAUAGUGGCU